GCUGGACAUGGUGGCGCGUGCCUGUAAUCCCAGCUACUCGGGAGGCUGAGGCAGGAGAAUUGCUUGAACCCAGGAGGCGGAGGUUGCGGUGAGCCGAGAUCACGCCAUUGCACUCCAGCCUGGGUAACAAGAGCGAAACUCCGUCUCAAAAAAAAAGAUUGAGAUGGAGUCUUGAUCUGUCGCCCAGGCUGGAGUGCAGUGGCACAAUCUCGGCUCACCGCAACCUCCACCUCCUGGGUUCAAGCCAUUCUUGCCUCAG
rnacentral:SRP_RNA from 1 species